UGAGGAAUAUUGCACAAUGGAGGAAACUCUGAUGCAGCAACGCCGCGUGGAGGAUGACGCAUUUCGGUGUGUAAACUCCUUUUAAGAGGGAAGAUUAUGACGGUACCUCUUGAAUAAGCACCGGCUAACUCCGUGCCAGCAGCCGCGGUAAUACGGGGGGUGCAAGCGUUACUCGGAAUCACUGGGCGUAAAGGGUGCGUAGGCUGACUUUUAAGUCAGGCGUGAAAUCCAAUGGCUCAACCAUUGAACUGCGCUUGAAACUGGGAGUCUAGAGUUCAGAAGGGGCAGAUGGAAUUAGUGGUGUAGGGGUAAAAUCCGUAGAUAUCACUAGGAAUAUCAAAAGCGAAGGCGAUCUGCUGGGAUGAUACUGACGCUGAGGCACGAAAGCGUGGGGAGCAAA
rnacentral:rRNA from 1 species